AGGGAGAAAGUGAGGGAACACUGCAACUGAAUAUGGGUCAUGUGCCAGUUUUCUGUAAUGGAAUUGGAUUUUGGAAGAAGGUCUGGGAUUUUUUUUGUCCUCGUGAGAAGGGAGUUGGGAGACACCGAGUUCCGUCCAAUCAGUCAUAUAGAUAAAAAAUAGUGUGAUAUGAAAUUUGGCUUGUAGACCGACUUAGUUAGUAAGUCAUGGGUCAUCUGUUCUGACUGGAGCUCAAUUGCAAGUCUUUCAAGUCAUGGGUCACCCAGCACCACAUAAUUAUGAUAUGACCAAAUUAGAUUUGCUUAAAUUUUUUCUCAAAAGCACAAAAAAAUUGGACCCGAUC
rnacentral:lncRNA from 1 species